UACGUAGGGUGCGAGCGUUAAUCGGAAUUACUGGGCGUAAAGCGUGCGCAGGCGGUUUUGUAAGCCAGAUGUGAAAUCCCCGGGCUUAACCUGGGAACUGCAUUGGUGACUGCACGGCUAGAGUGUGUCAGAGGGGGGUAGAAUUCCACGUGUAGCAGUGAAAUGCGUAGAGAUGUGGAGGAAUACCGAUGGCGAAGGCAGCCCCCUGGGAUAACACUGACGCUCAUGCACGAAAGCGUGGGGAGCAAACAGG
rnacentral:rRNA from 1 species